CAUAAUAGGUUUCCACCCGAAAACAGGUGGACUAAGAGGGAAUCACGUUUAAAUCGUGAGCUGUCGCGCAACUGUGAUGCGGUGUGAUGCGCCGGACGAUAUGCCAUUGGGCCAUAGGGUCUGAGAAGGUGUUCGGCGAUGCCGCAGAGCCAGGAUACCUGCCUUUAUGA
rnacentral:ncRNA from 1 species